rnacentral:snoRNA from 1 species
UUUAUUUAUUUAUUUGGUGGUUCAAAUGUCAUCACCAUUUUUCUGAUAGCAAAUAUUCUUCUACAUCAUCUGCA